AGCUUUUUGAAUCCGUGAAGAGAUUUCGUCAAAAACCAACCCAUUAAAGCUGAUUAGGCUUUCAAGAUAAUCGAAGCU
rfam:Schistosoma curassoni strain Dakar, Senegal genome assembly, scaffold: SCTD_scaffold0012593